UAUGUGGUUUAAUUCGAUGCAACGCGAAGAACUACCUGGUCUUGACAUCCCGGAGACCCUUAGGAAACUAGGGGGUGCUUCCAUCUGGAAGAAUCUGGAGACAGGUGCUGCAUGGCUGUCGUCAGCUCGUGUCGUGAGAUGUUGGGUUAAGUCCCGCAACGAGCGCAACCCUUGCCUUUAGUUGCCAGCAGUUCGGCUGGGCACUCUAAAGGGACUGCCGGUGUUAAACCGGAGGAAGGUGGGGAUGACGUCAAGUCCUCAUGGCCUUUAUGACCAGGGCUACACACGUACUACAAUGGCCGAUACAAAGGGCAGCGACACUGCGAGGUGAAGCCAAUCCCGUAAAAUCGGUCUCAGUCCGGAUUGGAGUCUGCAACUCGACUCCAUGAAGUUGGAAUCGCUAGUAAUCGUGGAUCAGCAUGCCACGGUGAAUACGUUCCCGGGCCUU
rnacentral:rRNA from 1 species